GUCUUUGGUAGUGAAAUCCAGCACCGGGUUGCCGAAGGUCUGGCUAAAGCUCUGCCAGUUUCUCUCACCUGGAACCGUAUUCGUGUAAUCGAGCGCAAACGAAUUCCAGUCGCCAUAGGUAUAGGAGC
rnacentral:misc_RNA from 1 species